GCGAGCGAGGACAAAAACGGCUGAACCUUUGCUAUCCUCUCACCUUCGCUCUCUCCCUUCCAAAAUCCCUAAUUUCUCCCCCUCCCAAUCUUCCUGGCGGCGGCAGCGAGCGAGCAGGCGGCUGCAUUUACCGGGACUAGUGGCGGCGAGCGGGCAGCAGAGCUGCGAAGACAAGGUCAAGAACCCCGGUGGCCGCCUCCCCCACCACCGGGAAAAGGAGAGGAAGGGGAAAGGGACCCCCUUUUCCUCGCCCCGGCGGUCAUCCGGGAGAAGGAUGACCUGUGUGCCUCCAGAUGUGCUGCUGCCGCGACAUGGAAGCCGGCCUGCUGAUGCUGCUCUCCUCCGAUGUCGGGGACGACCGGCUGCUGCUGCACGCCGGUGAAUAGUGGCGAUUGGCGAUCGAGUACUCCUUGAUGUCAGAGAAUCCAACAUAACUAAGGAGUGAUUUGACAAAGUUCUGAAAGCUGGUUCUAAUGUUGUAUUUACCACCAGGGGAAUUGAUGAUAUGUCUUUGAAGAGCUAUGAAGUAGUAUCCGCCUGUCGCUCUUCUCGAUGAUGGUGAUAAUGCAAGGUAGCAGUGGCCUGUUAAUAUCAAGACCCAUGAAGCAGUGAUGCGAAAAUGUUCAAGCAAUUCACUCAAGAGCAUGGUGUUUACUCUGGCAGGUACAUAUUUCUUAUUUGAUUGUACCUUUGGCCUGUUAUUAUCUUCUUCUUUUUUACUUCUGGCCUAACGAGUUUCAGGUCGUGUCGCUCUGUUCCGUGGUGCGUGUCUCUUCGGUUACAGUAUUACCGUUUUAGGGUGCCCUUUUCUUACGACUGUUCUAUAUGCUAACUGCCUUUGAUCAUCGCUAUAAGUUGUCUCAUGUGGAGGUUGUGGACAGAUCGCAGUUUGUUGGUGCCUGGCCGUACACCUCUGGUGUAAGAUCGGCGAUAGCACUGAAACAUGCUCCAGCCACAAUUUAUAUAUGAUCAAAAGCCAUAAUUAGCUUCAGGCUAUCAGCAUAACUAGGCCAUACAUAUUUAGAGGACACUGUUUCUACUUUUGGGCAUACAGUUUUUGUCAUCUUUGCAUACCAUGUUUCCUCUUUUAUGCGCUGGAUUAGGAAAAAAAAUCUUUGGGUUGCAAAUAGCACAGUAAUGUGUUCUUUGUUUAUCUGUCAGUGAGAAAAUCCAAGAUCUUGUCUUGGCUAAAAGAGAGUUAUGUGGAUGGUGUUCCUCCCACUGAGCAGCAUACAAUGGUAUCUUCUGGUGUUUUUACAGAAGAGAGUAGAGUGAGAAAUGGAAUAUGGUAGGAAAAGGUAAUAAUGCUUGGUAUGUAAGUCCGUUUUUAUAAAUUGCAAGUACUAUAUGACCUUGAUCACACCUUUGUUCAACAGUUGUUUUUGCUCAUAUUUCCUUUUGAACUUCUUAGGUAUAUAUUUGGUGAUCAUAGGCCUAUACUGGUUAAUUGUUAGCAAUUGCUUCAAAAACCUGUUAAAGUUAGUAAUUGCUUCUGGACCAUAGGUAUGAACACAUGUCAUUUUCAUUAAGUCAAGUGUCCCACCUGAAGCCUCUUGGUAACAAAAAUACGUUUACUUAUGAAAUAUCUUUCAAAAUACGGAAUAUGUAUUGCGGGAAAUCUGUGAUAAAAUGGGUCAUGAUGGGAUGUAUGCAAACUUUUGUUUCAGAAAACAGGGCACCAGGUCCAGG